CGGUAACCCCUGGGGCAGCUGCAGCGGUGACCGCCUGGGGUGUUCUCGCAGAGCUGGUUGUAGUGACAGUCGUCCAACCCCUCCAGGCAUUCGUCCACAUCUGGGAGGCAGGGGCAUGGUCGGUGGUGGGGAGGUCUAGCCCAGGGCCCCUCCCCCAAGGGACGGACCAUCCCCCUCCAUAUCUGGGCCUCCUCCCUGUCCCCUUCUCCAGUUUCAGUGCCACCAGGCUGCAUGAACAUAUAUAAAGGAAGAAUAUUUGUUUCUAUUAAAAAAAAAUAAGGAGGCUGGGUUAUGGAUUGAAUGCUACCACACCACCCAAAAUUCAUACGUUGAAGUCUUAACCCCCAGGACCUCAGAAUGUGACCCUAUUUGAAGAUAGGGUCUUUAUAGAGUAAGUCAAGUUAGAAUGAGGUCAUUAGGGCAGGCCUAAUCCAACAUGACUGUGUCCUUAUAAAUAGGGAAGUGUAGACACACACAGGGAAGAUGAAGGCAGAGGUGGGGGUGAUGUUUCGACAAGCCACAGAAUGCCGAGGACCACCACCAAGACCCUGGGAGAGAGACCCAGACCAGAUCCUCCCCACAGUGUUCAGAAGAAACCAGGGCUGCUGACAGUGUGAUCCUGGAUUUGCAGCCUCCAGAACUAUGAGACAAUCAGUGUGGCUUAAGCCUCCAGCUUGUGGUGUUUUGUUUUGUUUUGUUUUGUUUUGUUUUUUUACCAGUAGCCCUACAGAACAAAUACAAAGGCCAUGUACAUAGCUCUGUGGUUGGGACUGGGGCCUGCCAACAGGAGAGGGUAAGAAGUGGGA
rnacentral:lncRNA from 1 species